AUUGGAGGAAAGCAGGGGAUCGCAAGACCUCGCGCGAUUGGAGCGGCCGAUGUCCGAUUAGCUAGUUGGUGAGGUAACGGCUCACCAAGGCGACGAUCGGUAGCUGGUCUGAGAGGACGACCAGCCACACUGGGACUGAGACACGGCCCAGACUCCUACGGGAGGCAGCAGUGGGGAAUUUUGGACAAUGGGGGCAACCCUGAUCCAGCCAUGCCGCGUGUGUGAUGAAGGCCUUCGGGUUGUAAAGCACUUUCGGACGGAACGAAAUCGCGUGGGCGAAUAUCCCGCGUGGAUGACGGUAUCGUAAGAAGAAGCACCGGCUAACUACGUGCCAGCAGCCGCGGUAAUACGUAGGGUGCGAGCGUUAAUCGGAAUUACUGGGCGUAAAGGGUGCGCAGGCGGCUUCGCAAGUCAGGCGUGAAAUCCCCGAGCUUAACUUGGGAAUUGCGUUUGAAACUACAAGGCUAGAAU
rnacentral:rRNA from 1 species